GGUUCGUUGGUGUAAAAGGCAGCAUCCCUGAGGUGGGAAGAUCUUGCCUCUGAUUGAGGUCCUUGAGGAAGAUAUUGGUUCGAAUCCAAUACGGGCCA